rnacentral:rRNA from 1 species
CCUACGGGAGGCAGCAGUGAGGAAUAUUGGUCAAUGGACGAGAGUCUGAACCAGCCAAGCAGCGUGAAGGAUGACUGCUCUAUGGGUUGUAAACUUCUUUUAUAUGGGAAUAAAAUGUUCCACGUGUGGGAUUUUGUAUGUACCAUAUGAAUAAGGAUAGGCUAACUCCGUGCCAGCAGCCGAGGUAAUACGGAGGAUGCGAGCGUUAUCCGGAUUUAUUGGGUUUAAAGGGAGCGUAGGUGGGUUGUUAAGUCAGUUGUGAAAGUUUGCGGCUCAACCGUAAAAUUGCAGUUGAAACUGGCAGUCUUGAGUACAGUAGAGGUGGGCGGAAUUCGUGGUGUAGCGGUGAAAUGCGUAGAUAUCACGAAGAACACCGAUGGCGAAGGCGGUUCACUGGACUGCAACUGACACUGAGGCUCGAAAGUGUGGGUAGCAAACAGGAUUAGAUACCCUUGUAGUC